rnacentral:lncRNA from 10 species
UUUGUCAGGCUAAGAGUCUCUCUCUUAUUGGCUUUGAAAAAGCAAGUUGCCACACUGUGAGUUGCUUAUGAAGAAGGCCGUAUCACAAAAACUGAGGACAGACUCUCGUCAACAGCCAGCAACUGAGGCCUUUUGUCCAAGAACAUGCAAGAAACUGAAUGCUGCUAACAACUAUGUUAACUUAGAAGUGAGUCCUUUCCCAAUCAAGCCUUCAGAUGAGACCCCAGCCCAAGUUGACAUCUUGAAUGCUGCCUUGAAGAGUGCCUGGACAGCAGACCCACAGAGACGGUGGAAUAAUAAAUGUCUUAUGUAUCAACAAAAUCACACCAGACCACCCAAAGCUGGCCCUGCCAACUGACCACACACACCCCUGCCUGAAAGGCAUGUUUCAAUGUGCAACAGACGCCUGCCACUCAGGGGACAUCAAAUGUUCAUGAGAACUCGCUAACCUCGAAACAGGUGACUGUCAAGACUGGCUGAGGAUUGAAACUCUGGGGAAAUUUGCUAGAAUAUGUGUGGAUUGCUGGGCCAGCUUCCCGAUGGGCUGAUCUUUAGGUGCCGGGCUGGGGAUGCGCAUUCUCAGCACUGCUGCUGGGUGGUUCUGUGAAGUAGACCCUUGGUAACCACUGCAUUAGACCACCUAGGUCUCUGCCACUUCCACACUGUGGACACUUCGAUGGAUCAUUCUUUGUGGUGGGCACUGUCCAGUGCAUUGCUGGAUAUUCAGCAGCAUUCCUGAACUCUUCUUGCCAGAUACCAGUAGCACCCUUCCUGUCCCCUCCCAUGUCACCAUAUGACAACCCAAAAGAUCUCCAGACGUUGCCACAUGUUCCCAGGCAGCAAACUCCCUUCCAUGGUAACUACUGUCCUAGGCUGUUUACAAGGUUAUUAGUGAUGGUGACAGCCAUAAUGAGGAACCAGGCUCUGUGCCGAGCACUCACUGCAUCUCAUUCUGUGUAAUCCUCAUGGUCAUAUUCUUAGGCAAUCUUUUCAUCAUUGUUUAUAAAACUCAGAGAAUUUAAACAGCUUUCCCAAGGUCAUGGGUAAUCAGUGGCCACAGCUUGAUGCCUACCUCUGUUUGACUCCAAAGUGGACUCAGGGGUCAGAUAGAUCCAGAGGGUGACAGAAACCUCAUCCUGGAGACUGGGGGUUCUUCCAAGGCUUGUUCUUGUCACUUUUUUUUUUUUUUUUUUUGAGAUGGAGUCUUGCUCUGUUGCCCAGGCUGGAGUGCAGUGGCGCGAUCUCAGCUCACUGCAAGCUCCGCCUCCCAGGUUCACGCCUCCCAGGUUCACGCCUCCCGAGUAGCUGGGACUACAGGUGCCUGCCACCAUACCUGGCUAAUUUUUUGUAUUUUCAGUAGGGACGGGUUUUCGCCAUGUUGGCCAGGAUAGUCUCGAUCUCCUGAACUCGUGAUCCGCCCUCCUCCGCCUCCCAAAGUGCUGGGAUUACAGGCGUGAGCCACCGCACCGGGCCUCUUGUCACUAUUUAACAAAGCAUAAUGGCUCCUCUCUGCCUACUCUACCAGAUCCAUGCUCUUUAGCCUGCCAGGCCAGGCUGUCCCUACCUCACAUCCCCUGAUCAGCUACAUUAUAAUCUAAGGCCUAUCUCCUCUUUAACCCUGAACGUACCUUGCUCAUUUUCACUGUAGGGCUGUUUCUUUCAUUCAGGGGUCUCAAACUCAAAUGUCUAUAGGGGCCUAGAGGGUAAAUUAACAAACAAAGUGGGCUCAGUGCAAGAUGAUAAAUGGCAAUGGAUCUUUCAGCCUCAUUUGGAGAGACCUUGGGAAUGGUGAGGACUGUGACCUCAGUGGAGCACCUACUUUACUGAGACAGGGCAGCUGCUUCUCCAUCUUGCCCUGUGCUAGUCUUGCUGGAUAUUUUAUUUUUCAAGAAAUAAAAUAUGGAAUGUGGAAUAAUAUGUGUGACUUAUCAAUUUUUAAAUUUUGGUAGGUUCUACAAAUUCAAAAAAACCACCCGUGGCCUGGCUCUGGGCUGAAGCUGAGUCCUGGCUUGAAAUCCCCUGCCUUAAUCUCUCUUCGAAGACUUUUCUGCAUUCAUCUGAGUCCUCAUCCUCCAAGGCAGGGCUCAGGCUUGGGCUCAGGCUCCCAGCCAUGUAUCCCUCCUGGACCAUUCCUGACUCCUUUCCAGUAUCCUUAUCACUUGUACCACAUACGUUGGCCUUUGAUCCUGUGUACUGUUGGAUUUGUCUUUACUUCACAGGUUCAUCUUGUCUCCCCAAGAACAAUGAGAGUUGCCUCAAGGGGUAGAACCAUGCUUUUUGUUUUCUUUUGAAUUCAUUACAGCACAGCCAAAAGCUCAACACACAAAACACACUCAGUAAAUAUCUGUUGAACAGAAUAAAAGCCAUUCCGCAUAACCAACCCUGAUCUCUUUUGCUGGACUGUAAACCAACCUACCUAUUGUUAGUCCUUCACAGAUUAUAUGGUGGAUCUGAACACAUCAGGUAGAACCUUUGAUAAACUUAAAGUCCUUCAUUGAAUCACUCUGUAGCCACUGUUUUCUCUAGGACAAAAGCUUUAAAUAUUUUGAGAAAAUUGUACAAGACCAUCCAUCCUGAUUCUCAUGGCUUUGGUUGUUCAGAAAGGAAAUCUUUGUACACACACCAUUUCACUGCCUCCUUUUCAGUUUCCCAAUUUGGAAAAAGGAAAAAUGUGAACUAUCCCCCUCUUCGCGUUCUUUUCUAACUGAAGUGAUAGAUUUCAGAGUCGUAUAAAGCUAAGAUUAUCGUUUAUCAUAUCUCAG